CAGCUGACCCAUAGCCCUGAUGCCCCAUUGAUGGAAAGUGACAAGGCUGUAGGAUGAAGGCUGUGCUUAUGUAAGAAGGGGCCUGAUGACAUCACAUCCACUUCUUGAUUUAGAAGGCUCAGGAGCUCACGGAACAGCACAGUGCCCUAACCUACUGCAUGCAGACGGACACACUGCAGGGAUUGCUGGUUUUAGGCUGGAUUUCAAGGUGAACCAGGAACUCUGGAUGUGAGGAUUAGAAGAAUACGGAGGUGUGGC
rnacentral:lncRNA from 1 species